rnacentral:rRNA from 1 species
AGCGUUGUUCGGGAUCAUUGGGCGUAAAGGGUGAGUAGGCGGAUAUGCAAGUCUAUGUGUAAAAUACCACAGCUCAACUGUGGAACUAUGCUGGAAACUGCAUGACUAGAGUCUGAUAGGGGAAGUUAGAAUUCUUGGUGUAAGGGUGGAAUCUGUUGAUAUCAGGAAGAAUACCAGAGGCGAAGGCGAACUUCUAGGUCAAGACUGACGCUGAGUCACGAAAGCGUAGGGAGCAAACAGGAUUAGAUACCCUGGUAGUCUACGCUGUAAACGAUGCACACUUGGUGUUAAUCGAAAGGUUAGUACCGAAGCUAACGUGUUAAGUGUGCCGCCUGGGGAGUAUGUUCGCAAGAAUGAAACUCAAAGGAAUUGACGGGGGCCCGCACAAGCGGUGGAGCAUGUGGUUUAAUUCGAU